AACUUUGCGCAGUGGCAAUAUCGUAGCCAAUGAGGUUUAUCUGAGGCGCGAUUAUUGCUAAUUAAAAAUGGCUAAAAAUAAA
rfam:Canis lupus familiaris chromosome 1, whole genome shotgun sequence.